rnacentral:rRNA from 1 species
AUGAUAUUAAAAAGAAAAAUUCUUCGGUCCCAUAAAUUUAUCUACACAGUUGAAUUUCAGAAACGUGGCCUCCCACAUGCUCAUAUAAUUAUAUGGUUAGCCAAAGAAGCCCCCUUAGAUGCACAGAAGAUAAAUUCAAUUAUUUCUGCUCAAUUGCCAGAUCCUGUGAAAGACCCAAUUGGAUAUGAAGCUAUAUCUUCUUUCAUGGUCCAUGGCCCUUGGGGCCCUCUCAACCAGUUUUCCCCAUGCAUGUCAGAAGGAAAGUGCACAAAAUUUUACCCGAACGAUUUCUGUGAGCAAACCACUAUCCGGGAGAACGGUUUUACUGAAUAUGCCCGACCAAACAACGGAAUAACUGCUAGAAAAAAUAAAGUUGACAUUGAUAAUAGAUACAUUGUUCCUCAUAAUGUUGAUCUGGUGGUUAAGUAUCAAGCCCACAUAAAUGUAGAAAAGGUUAAUCAUGAUGGUAUGCACAAAUAUCUUUUCAAAUAUGUUACAAAAGGAUUUGAUUGUGCUAGAAUUGGCCUCUACUCCAAGUCUACGUCAUCAGAUUCGUCGACUGAGACAAUUAAUGAAAUUGAUAACUAUUUAGAGUGUCGUUGUGUCACACCAAAUGAUGCUGCUUGGCGUUUGUUCGAGUAUGAUAUUCACCAUACAGAACCUUCUGUAGAAAGGCUCCCUGUUCAUCUUCCUCUUGAGAAUAAUGUAAUUUUCUCUGAAGAUGAUAAUCUGGAACAAGUAAUUGAAGACCCAAAAAAUAUGGCAACUAAAUUGACUGCAUAG